AGCAGCCGCGGUAAUUCCAGCUCCAAUAGCGUAUAUUAAAGUUGUUGCAGUUAAAAAGCUCGUAGUUGAACUUCAGGCCUGGCUGGACGGUCCGCCUUCUGGGUGAGUACUGUCUGUGGUCGGGUCCUACCUUCUGGCGAAGCGUCAUGGCCUUCACCGGCCGUGGCGGGGAACCAGGACUUUUACUGUGAAAAAAUUAGAGUGUUCAAAGCAGGCACGCGCUUGAAUACAUUAGCAUGGAAUAAUGGAAUAGGACAGUGGUUCUAUUUGUUGGUUUCUAGGACCGUUGUAAUGAUUAAUAGGGAUAGUUGGGGGCAUUAGUAUUCAAUUGUCAGAGGUGAAAUUCUUGGAUUUAUUGAAGACUAACUACUGCGAAAGCAUUUGCCAAGGAUGUUUUCAUUAAUCAAGAACGAAAGUUAGGGAUCGAAGACGAUCAGAUACCGUCGUAGUCUUAACCAUAAACUAUGACCGACUAGGGAUCGGAUGAUGUUUAAUUUUUUAUGUACUCAUUCGGCUACCG
rnacentral:rRNA from 1 species